GACCCAAGUCAGAUAGAAGUGGGAGCAGCCCUGCAGGGAAUGCACUCAAUUGCCUAAUAGUUCUCGUCACCUUGUGUUUCAGUAGCCCUAUGACUAACGCUCUCUUCUGACUCAAUGUUUUCUUACAUACAAGGUCCCAAGGUACAAGGGUUAGUCUGUGAUGUCACUGAGGUUCCCAAAACAAAACAGAGUGGCUGCCCAUUGUUGCAUCAUAAAACCACGUGUCUUCUUGACCUCUUGACUCAGGAGCCGUGUACCAGAUUCAUUCCAAACCAAGAUACAGAAAACCUGAGAGAAAGGAAAUGAAUUUAAAUGGAUGAAAAUAGGGCGGGAGAGUUAGAGUUUCUCUGUCUGCCAGUGGGGGAAAGGUACAGUGCCUUCUUGCUUUUUAUCCUGUUUCCAUUCCAGGCUGUAAGAUUGAUGCUGUCCAUGAUCAUAGGAAAAUGCCAAAGGCUGGGCAUGCUCUGACUCGGCACUCAGAUGGAGCACCAUGCCUGGCCAGGCUGUUCUCUGACAAGCUCUCUGGCUCCUGGCAUUGUAGUCCCCCUGCCCUUUUAAAAAACAAAAAACAAACAAACAAAAAAUGAGCACGGCUUGUUUCUCUAAGAAAUAUGAAAUACUUUCUAAAAUUUGAGCACCACACCAAGCUUUCCUGUGAGGGAGGUUCAAAUCACCAUAGGAAUAAAAUAAAGCCUCUUUUCAAUGCUUAGCUGUUCUCCUAUUAAUGCAAAUAAUACCUGGCCAGGUGAUACAGCCAGCUUUGGUGAUCAGUUUGAUGCAUGACACUAGGAAAUUUAUCUUCCAUUCCUUACUAAUGAAAGAACUGGCAGAUGGUUCCAAGUCUUCCAGCGUCCCUCUUUCUUAAUGGAGGGUCAUGAUCUCCCCGUGUGGCAGCUGUGCAUUUGAUCUCUUCACUUGUCACACCCAUGUCUUCCAGGGAAACAUUUCUACUCUACAGCAGAUGGAGUGGGCCACCACCUGGGUUUCUUGGUCUGAGAGCAGCAAAUCUUCAGUUUUGUUUUUCUUGCUGUCACUCCAGAUACCACAUGCCAGAACUGCCCUUUUCUUUACCAUUAAGAUAAUGUCCCUUCUGAAAUGGCAAGUAGGUACUUGCCAUAGAGUAAAACUACAGGGUGUAGGCAUGGACAGGAAUUCCAGACCAUGGCAAAGGGCAGUGUGCCUCAGUGACUGCAGCAGCCUGUUGCUUUGUUUUGCUGGUGCUAGAUCUGAACUAGGCUAGGAGCUUUUAUACAUAAUCCCUUAUCCUUCCCACAGCGCUGCAAGAGAGAGGUCCUAUUCCCAUUGUAGAGGCUAGGAAACUGAUCUCCAAGACGUUAGGUAAGUUAACAGGGCUUGUAGUGGCAGAACCAGAUUGCAGACUGCAGGCUAGUUUCUCGGCCUGUUUGGUUUCCCUUUGCCAUGCUGAAUGUAGGCGAAAUGGUCUGCUGAGCACUCCCGGGAGCCUGAGCCUCAGGGCUGGCUCCUGUGGAGCUGGUCACAGCUGACCACAGGCCACCUGUUUGUUCCCUGACUUUCCUGUUCAUCAGGGCAGGCAUCUGCAUCUCAUCUUUCCUUAAUCAGCAUCAGCAUCCUCUAGCCAGAAACUGCUGGUGACUGGACUAGCAGUUGCCCAUUUCAUUGGGGAAGCUCCUUUUGAGGGGACAGAAUCCAACUUCUGGUGAGUUAGACAAAUUCUCAGCCAACUUUCCUUGAUUUUCUGGCAAGUGUUUCCUGACCAUAUCCACCUUCAGAGAUAUGAAACUUUUAGAGACAGAUAAGUUUUCCCCGGUGGUCCUUUCUCACCUCAUUCUUACCUGUGAAUACACUUGGGGACCCUGAAUGACACCCAAACUCAUAGCAGGCUUUUUCACAAUACUUACCAACACCAUUACUCCAGUCAGCAGCCCAAAGAAACAUCAGGCUCCACACUAAAAAUGUCUUCUUUAUAACAGGCAACUUGCUUCAAACAUGGGUUGGAACACACACUUAGCACCAGAUUGCAUCCCCAGUGUUGAAAUCAGGAUCCACAUUGAUCCAUCAUUAACCCACUAGCUCGGGUGGCAUUGACAAUUCCUGAUAAGUUUGAGUCACAGCUAAUAAACCUGCCCUUUCCUUGUGGCACCCACUCUCUGCCUCUGUGGCUGAUGUGAUCCUGCCCUAGUGCGUGGCAGGUCUGUCUGGACACAGUCACUAUAGAGCCGUCUCCUGAAUUGUGUCAUUGCAAUGCUGAAAGAGUUAAGUAGGCCCUGCAGUGCGCUGAAUGCUCCAGUUGGAGGGUUUCAGAGAAAGUCUUGACAAACGACGGGUUCCUGCCCUGCUGGGAAUAUUUCUUCUUUGAGUUCUGGCAGCUAUUACUUGGCUGCAGAAUAUCUAAGACCCACUUUGCCUUUUCUGGUCAUAAACACUUGUAGUGUUGAAUCUUA
rnacentral:lncRNA from 10 species